rfam:Colletotrichum gloeosporioides Nara gc5 unplaced genomic scaffold scaffold183, whole genome shotgun sequence.
GCCUUCGGGCAUUUGGUCAAUUUGAAACGAUACAGAGAAGAUUAGCAUGGCCCCUGCACUAAGGAUGACACGCUCAAUCAAAGAGAAGCUACCAAUUUUU